rnacentral:rRNA from 1 species
UACGUAGGGGGCUAGCGUUGUUCGGAAUUACUGGGCGUAAAGGGCGCGUAGGCGGCCCGCUAAGUCGAACGUGAAAUCCCCAGGCUCAACCUGGGAACUGCGUCCGAUACUGGCAGGCUUGAAUCCGGGAGAGGGAUGUGGAAUUCCAGGUGUAGCGGUGAAAUGCGUAGAUAUCUGGAGGAACACCGGUGGCGAAGGCGGCAUCCUGGACCGGUAUUGACGCUGAGGCGCGAAAGCUAGGGGAGCAAACGGG